rnacentral:tRNA from 2 species
AGUCUUAUAGUCAAAUUAUGAUAUUAAAUUGCAAAUUUAAAGUAGGAAUAAAUUUCUAAGGCUU